UACGUAGGGGGCAAGCGUUGUCCGGAAUCAUUGGGCGUAAAGAGCGUGUAGGCGGCCCGAUAAGUCCGCUGUGAAAGUCCAGGGCUCAACCCUGGGAUGCCGGUGGAUACUGUCGGGCUCGAGUCCGGAAGAGGAGUGUGGAAUUCCUGGUGUAGCGGUGAAAUGCGCAGAUAUCAGGAGGAACACCAAUGGCGAAGGCAGCACUCUGGGACGUGACUGACGCUGAGACGCGAAAGCGUGGGGGAGCGAACAGG
rnacentral:rRNA from 1 species